rnacentral:rRNA from 1 species
CCUACGGGAGGCAGCAGUGAGGAAUAUUGGUCAAUGGGCGCGAGCCUGAACCAGCCAAGUAGCGUGAAGGAUGACUGCCCUACGGGUUGUAAACUUCUUUUAUAAAGGAAUAAAGUGAAGCACGUGUGCCUUUUUGUAUGUACUUUAUGACUAAGGAUCGGCUAACUCCGUGCCAGCAGCCGCGGUAAUACGGAGGAUCCGAGCGUUAUCCGGAUUUAUUGGGUUUAAAGGGAGCGUAGAUGGGUUGUUAAGUCAGUGGUGAAAGUUUGCGGCUCAACCGUAAAAUUGCAAUUGAUACUGGCAGGCUUGAGUACAGAUGAGGUAGGCGGAAUUCGUGGUGUAGCGGUGAAAUGCUUAGAUAUCACGAAGAACACCGAUUGCGAAGGCAGCUUACUAAACUGCAACUGACAGUGAUGCUCGAAAGUGUGGGUAUCAAACAGGAUUAGAUACCCGAGUAGUC